rnacentral:lncRNA from 1 species
UGGGCCCAGCGAGAAGUAGGUAAUAGACUGAGUAGACUGUGUUUCGACGGAGACGAAAAGAAUUACGAACUUUGGGAGACAAAGUUUUUGGGGCACCUGCGUUUGCUGGGACUAAAAGAGACCAUAUAUAUUAUUGAAAGUCCCCACACCGAGCGAUAGAGACAGCGCGGACGAAGAUGAGAUUGACGACACUGAUAAAAAUGAAGAAGCUUACGCGGAAUUGAUCCAGUUUUUGGAUGAUAAAAGUCUUUCCCUUAUAAUGAGAGAAGCCGCAGAUGACGGAAGAAAGGCGCUGCAAAUACUGAGGGGCUACUAUGCAGGAAAAGGGAAGCCGCGAAUUAUUAACCUGUACACAGAAUUAACAUCCCUUCAGAAAACUGCAAAGGAAAGUAUUACGGAUUACAUUAUUCGGGCAGAAACAGCCAUUACCGCUCUGAGGAAUGCUGAGGAGACGCUCAGUGACGGACUGUUGAUUGCAAUGAUUCUUAAAGGUUUGCCAGAAUCGUUUAAACCAUUCGCAGUUCAUGUAACACAGAGUGAUGAAACUAUGACUUUUGCAGAAUUUAAGACAAAGCUCAGAAGUUUUGAAAACACUGAAAAGUAUGCUAGGUCAAAUGACGACAACGUUAUGAAAGCGAGUGGUGCAGCUCCUGUGAGAAGAGGAGAGAGAGAGAAAAACGCAGACCCUUAUAAUAUUACAUGUUAUAAUUGCGGUCAAAAAGGACAUAAAGCCUGGAGAUGUCCAAAUGAACGUCGUAAAAGUCAAAAACAGUGGUGUAGCUAUUGCAAAAGCUCAACACACAAAGACGCAUCUUGCAGACGCAAAAGAAGAGACGACGCAAAACAAGCGACGCAUGAAGAGGACGCAGAUAAACAUGCUGCAUUUGUCUUCAAAACGUGUGAUUAUCAACUAGACGGGCUGAAACAUAAAGGGCUAAUGGUUGAUACGGGAGCAACAUCACACAUAAUUACCGACAUCGGAAAGUUUAAGAAAUUUGACGAGACUUUCCAAACGGGCAAACAUUUCAUUGAGCUUGCGGACGGGACAAGAGCGAGUGGCGUUGCGCUGAAGAGAGGUGACGCGGAGAUAUGCUUGAUUGACAGUGAAGGAAAGCAAGUGAGUACAACGCUAAAGAAAGCACUGUACAUUCCUUCAUAUCCACAAGACAUAUUCUCUGUUAAAGCAGCGACUGGCAACGGGGC